rnacentral:rRNA from 1 species
GAUGAACGCUGGCGGCGUGCCUAAUACAUGCAAGUCGAGCGACCAGACGAGGAGCUUGCUCCUCUGACGUGAGCGGCGGACGGGUGAGUAACACGUGGAUAACCUACCUAUAAGACUGGGAUAACUUCGGGAAACCGGAGCUAAUACCGGAUCAUAUAUUGAACCGCAUGGUUCAAUAGUGAAAGACGGUUUUGCUGUCACUUAUAGAUGGAGCCACGCCGGAUUAGCUAGUUGGUAAGGUAACGGCUUACCAAGGCAACGAUCCGUAGCUGGUCUGAGAGGACGAUCAGCCACACUGGGACUGAGACACGGCCCAGACUCCUACGGGAGGCAGCAGUGGGGAAUUUUGGACAAUGGGGGCAAGCCUGAUCCAGCCAUGCCGCGUGCGGGAAGAAGGCCUUCGGGUUGUAAACCGCUUUUGUUCGGGAAGAAAUCCUCUGGGCUAAUACCCCGGGGGGAUGACGGUACCGGAAGAAUAAGCACCGGCUAACUACGUG